AUUGAACGCUGGCGGCAUGAUUUACACAUGCAAGUCGAACGGUAACAGGCCGCUAGUUGCUGACGAGUGGCGAACGGGUGAGUAAUGCAUCGGAACGUGCCCAGUCGUGGGGUAUAACUACUCUAAAGAGUAGCUAAUACCGCAUACGAUCUAUGGAUGAAAUCGGUGGACCGUAAUGCCUCGCGCGAUUGGAUCGGCCGAUGUGAGAUUAGGUAGUUGGUGGGGUAAAGGCUCACCAAGCCAACGAUCUGUAGCUGGUCUGAGAGGACGACCAGCCACACUGGGACUGGGACACGGCCAAGACUCCUACGGGAGGCAGCAGUGGGGAAUGGUGGACAAUGGGCGCAAGCCUGAUACAGCAAGGCCGCGUGCAGGAAGAAGGCGUUCGGGUUGUAAACUGCUUUUGUACGGAACGAAACGGCUCUGGUUAAUACCCGGGGCUAAUGACGGUACCGGAAGAAUAAGCACCGGCUAACUACGUG
rnacentral:rRNA from 1 species